CAUGGAGGGUGAGAAUCCCGUCCGGUUGAUCAGAUUCGCUUUACGAUACGCUUUCUAAGAGUCAAGUUGUUUGGGAUUGCAGCUUAAAAUGGGAGGUAAAUUUCUCCUAAGGCUAAAUAACGGCGAGAGACCGAUAGCGAACAAGUACCGUGAGGGAAAGAUGAAAAGAACUUUGAAAAGAGAGUUAAAUAGUACGUGAAAUUGUUGAAAGGGAAACGAUUGAAGCCAGUCGUACCUAUGGGUAAUCAGCCUUUUGGGUGUGAUUUUGUGGAGCGUGAGGAGUUAAACGCCUUCAUGCCUGUAUAUUCGUGCACUUUGGGUGUACUUGCCCGUAUGGUUGGUUAACAUCAAUUUUGGUGGUCAUAAAAUGACUGGAGGAAUGUAGCUUCGAUCUCGUAUUGAAGUGUUAUAGCCUUCGGUAGAUGUGAUGAUCGAGAUUGAGGAUUGCAACGGAUACCCUUCGGGGCUACCUGUCUGAUCUCUGAUCGUUGCUCUGGUACCGAAAGCUUGCUUACGGUUAUCAAAGUCGAUGGUCAAAAGGUUAGAACGGGUUAAAUUCGUUAAGGAUGUUGACGUAAUGG
rnacentral:rRNA from 1 species